UACGUAGGGGGCAAGCGUUGUCCGGAAUCACUGGGCGUAAAGCGCGCGCAGGCGGCUAUCUACGUCCGGGGUGAAAGCCCAGAGCUUAACUCUGGGACUGCCUUGGAUACGGGAUGGCUUGAGGAUCGGAGAGGCAAGGGGAAUUCCACGUGUAGCGGUGAAAUGCGUAGAGAUGUGGAGGAACACCUGUGGCGAAGGCGCCUUGCUGGCCGAUUUCUGACGCUGAGGCGCGAAAGCGUGGGGAGCAAACAGG
rnacentral:rRNA from 1 species